GCCGGGUUAGCUCAGUUGGUAGAGCACCGCUCUUGUAAAGCGGAUGUCGUCGGUUCGAUUCCGACACCCGGCU
rnacentral:tRNA from 1 species